rnacentral:rRNA from 1 species
AUUGAACGCUGGCGGCAGGCUUAACACAUGCAAGUCGAGCGAGUGGCGUACGGGUGAGAAAUGUCUGGGAAACAGCCUGAAGGAGAGGAAUAACUACUGGAAACGGUAGCUAAUACCGCAUACCAUCAGAUGUGCGAAGAUGGAGUUAGCUAGUAGGUGGGGGAAUGGCUAACAAAGGCUACGAGCACUAGCUGGUCUGAGCGGAUGACCAGCCACACUGGAACUGAGACACGGUCCAGACGCCUACGGGAGGCAGCAGUGGCGAAGCUUGCACAAUGGGCGAAAGCCUGACGCAGCGAUGCCGCGUGUGUGAAGAAGGCCUGCGGAUUGUAAAGCACUGUCAGUGGGGAGGCGUUACCCGAAGAAGAAGCCACGGCUAACUCCGUGCCAGCAGCCGCGGUAAUAC